AAGUCCCAAGAUGACCUACCUUCAGGUACAGCGGGAUCCAGGGGUUCCAACAGUGAGGCCAAGGAGCAGCCUCUCAUUACUGCUUAGCUCAGUGUCCUUCUGGUUAUUGGCUCCAGCCCAAGGGAAGACUCUGGUCACCAGACUCACAUGUUUUCCAGGUUGUUAACUUCCAAUACCCAUUUAGCAAUCCAGGUAAGACUUUGAGCGGCCUCGCUUAGAACAGACAACUACACCUGGAUCAACCACUGUUGCUCGGGGGCCCAGAGCAUUGCGAUUGGCUACUCUGGAGUUACAUGACCUACCCUGUGGUCAGGAAGGGGAUGCUGGUGGAUGUGGAGACUGGUAGCUCUGCUGGGGAUGACAUAGAAUAAAGAAGAGAGUUAUCCAAAGUCAGGAGGGGUGUUGGACUGACAGAAACAAAGGAUAUCUACCCCACAUGGACACCCCUAGAGAACGAAAGUACUUGCUUCUGGUUCUUGCUUAGGUCUCUCUCUGAGUCAGUGCUAGUCCUGGGACAGUUGUUCUAAGGUCAUCAGGUGAAUUCUGUCAGUUCAGAGAUAAAUAUAGCUUCCAAGCCAAGGAACAUGACUUGCAAAAGAAGGAAGAGUUGCUGCUGAGCUGUGUGAAUCUGAACUGUGAGUAGAAGCCCCAGGCUAUAUCUGUCUCUUUGGCUUAGAACAGAUGGGACCCAGGCAACUUUUCACUCAACCAGCUGGGUUGUACGGAUAUCUCAUGCUCUGCUUGCUUUUAGGUCAGUGCCAUGCACACCAGGAUACGUGGAAUGUGAUGCUCGUGUACUGUGUUAACUUGAAGUUAAGGAAGUUAGGAUUUGCCUUUGCAAACUGGUAAGUGUGAGUGAAUCGUGCACGUCUGUGUUCAACAAGGAAAGGAAACACCAGGAUUGCAGGAGACACGAAACGAGUAAGAGUUUGCUGACUCCCAACACAGGUCCUCUUCGUGCGAGCAAAGGCUGGCUUUCCUGGAAAACUGGCUUCCUUCAGAACUCUGGUCCACUCUGAUACCAAACGUGGAUGCUUGUGGAAUUUGCCAGUUAUUGGGCUGAGGGGACCCUUCCCCUGGCGAAGCAGAAAAGCAUCAAACAAAAGUUUCCUCUGUGCCUGUGGGCUACCCGCCUACCUCUGCCGUGACACCAGCCACAUCCUCAUGCCUUAACGUUAACAGGUUGUCUGCAGUCCCUUGUGGGGUUCUAAGACUCAAUCCAUAGACUCAUGCAUGUUUUGAGAGCCCCAGAAUCAAAGCUGGAGAGGUGACUUUAGGAGAUUAACAGUCAUGAUUUAUUGUCCAAACCAGAACCUUUUGAGAGUGAAAGGGCGUGCUAUUAGUCAUGAUUCCAGGACUACAGGUGUUGGGUGGCACAUUUGGUCUUCUCAAUAUUUAUUGAGCCCUUGUUAGUAAUUUAACUCAUCCUUUAAUACAGUCUUCCCUUGAAUCCUCAUAAUAACUGUAUUGACUAGACAGUAUUCCCAUUUUACAGAUGAUGAGGGUUGAAGGAGUAGUUCAUGUACAGUGACGACUCUAUAGUUGUGCCCUGGUAAGAGCAGGCAUGAGAAGGAAUUUGGACUGAAGUCUUAUGCCAAAAUGGAUGUACCUUGCACUACAGUAUGUGGUUUCUUACCUAUAAUUCAGUGAUUUUUUCCUUUUUUCUAAAAAAAGACCUAGGUUCUAAGGAGACAUAAGAUGCUAGUUAGCUACCAAGACACUCCUGAAGGCAAGGGGAAGACCAUCAAAAGAGCAACUCCAUCUUCAUGUUUAAGAUAUUGGCCAAGUGGAUGAAACUUCAUUUACUGGGAGGAAGGGGAUUUCUACUAUUUGAAAUUAAAAAAUAGGAA
rnacentral:lncRNA from 1 species